AGCCUUCUGUAUUCGUACUGAGAUUUCAUCAGUCAUCAAACCGUUGGGGCUGAAUCAACUCUUUAAAUAAGUGGAGUG
rnacentral:pre_miRNA from 1 species